UAAAUAGUAACCUUGAGUAUAUAUAUAAAAAAAAAAUAUAGAAACAAAAAUUCAUUGUUGUCAAAAAUAAAAACAAGAAGAACGUAGAAGAGGAAAGAAGAGAGAGGAAGGUCUAGAAGCAUAGAACAAAAUCAAGAAAAAGAACAAAGAUUUCAACUUGAGCUAAGAUACUCAGGUUGAGGAUCAUAUAUCCCAGGAGUAGUCGCGUGUCCUUUGUUGCUCGAAUCUAGCUUUUUGGUGAGGAGUGUAGCUAUGCUACUUCAUCUCAGUUGCUUAUGUUUAGCUCGAGUCUAGAGUAGUGCUCUGACGUAUAUACCACUAUGUCUAGGACCUCGCUAGCUUGUAUUACCUAAAUGGUUAUAUUUUGAUGUUAUGACUUUUAUUGUCGAGACUUAUGUUGUUUUGUUCAUAUCAUGAAUGAUGUGAUCAUGAUAUGGAUAUGUUGGUACUUAAACUUACUUAAGUUAUUAUGAUGAUACACUAUUUUAAGUAUAAUGGUGAAAUAUAAAUAUUGAAGUACA